rnacentral:lncRNA from 1 species
UUGUUUCCUUAAACAUGACACAGAAGCCCGCCUUGGCUUGGCUCUGUCCUGCUCAUCCAUGCCACAUCUUAUCCUGCACCUUCCAGUCAAACUUCGUGUUCUUUCGUGCUAUCGUGCUGUAUAAUGACUCUUAACAGCUGCCUAAACGCAGCUCCUGGAAACUCUUUUGGGAAACCUUCCUUGAUUCUUUUCUUUUGUGAUCACUGAAGCACUUUGUAUGCAUCUCUAGCAUAGCAUCAUUUUCUACCAGAACCUCUUGUUUGUGUUUGUUCCUCAGUUUUUCUUUUGAAGCUUUCAUGAGCACGCACAGGUGCAUAUGGUUACAUUUUCAGAGGCAGGUUCUUCUGUGCUGUUGCUGUUGUAUUCUUCAUUGAACCCUCUAGGGUGUAAUCCAUUCUCCUAAUCUCCUUUUAAAAAAUCCUGUUUCCUUUUUAAAAUAAUUGUAGAGUAUUGGUUUACCCUCUCUGCACAUGUCCAUU